AAAUCAUGUCAAGAGGGCAUCUUCUGAUCAACUGCUUGUACCUCUUCCAAGCUUCAUAGAUGGAUUCUCCCUCUUUCUGUCUGAAGGUCUGGACUUCUACCCUAAGCUU